GAUGAACGCUGGCGGCGUGCUUAACACAUGCAAGUCGAACGGAAAGGCCCUGCUUUUGUGGGGUGCUCGAGUGGCGAACGGGUGAGUAACACGUGAGUAACCUGCCCUUGACUUUGGGAUAACUUCAGGAAACUGGGGCUAAUACCGGAUAGGAGCUCCUGCUGCACGGUGGGGGUUGGAAAGUUUCGGCGGUUGGGGAUGGACUCGCGGCUUACCAGCUUGUUGGUGGGGUAGUGGCUUACCAAGGCUUUGACGGGUAGCCUGCCUGAGAGGGUGACCGGCGACAUUGGGACUGAGAUACGGCCCAGACUCCUACGGGAGGCAGCAGUGGGGAAUAUUGCACAAUGGGCGGAAGCCUGAUGCAGCAACGCCGCGUGCGGGAUGACGGCCUUCGGGUUGUAAACCGCUUUCGCCUGUGACGAAGCGUGAGUGACGGUAAUGGGUAAAGAAGCACCGGCUAACUACGUG
rnacentral:rRNA from 1 species